rnacentral:rRNA from 1 species
GUGGGGAAUAUUGGUCAAUGGCGGCAACGCUGAACCAGCCAAGUAGCGUGAGGGAUUACGGCCCUAUGGGUCUUAAACCUCUUUUGUUGGGGAGCAACCUGUGCCACUUGUGGCACACUGCGAGUACCCUUCGAAUAAGCAUCGGCUAACUCCGUGCCAGCAGCCGCGGUAAUACGGAGGAUGCGAGCGUUAUCCGGAUUUAUUGGGUUUAAAGGGAGCGCGGACCGGAGAUUAAGUCAGCUGUUAAAUGGCGGCGCCCAACGCCGUCCUGCGGUUGAUACUGGUUUCCUUGAGUGCGGCAUGGGCAGGCGGAAUUCACGGUGUAGCGGUGAAAUGCUUAGAUAUCGUGAAGAACUCCGAUCGCGAAGGCAGCCUGCCGGACCGUUACUGACGUUUAGGCUCGAAAGUGCGGGUAUCAAACAGG